CCUACGGGAGGCAGCAGUGGGGAAUCUUGCGCAAUGGGGGCAACCCUGACGCAGCCAUGCCGCGUGAAUGAUGAAGGCCUUAGGGUUGUAAAGUUCUUUUGCCCGUGACGAUGAUGACGGUAACGGGAGAAUAAGCUCCGGCUAACUUCGUGCCAGCAGCCGCGGUAAUACGAAGGGGGCUAGCGUUGUUCGGAAUUACUGGGCGUAAAGCGCGCGCAGGCGGUUCGAUAAGUUAGGGGUGAAAUCCCUGGGCUCAACCCAGGAAUGGCCUUUAAAGACUGUCGAGCUAGAGGACGAGAGAGGUGAGUGGAAUUCCCAGUGUAGAGGUGAAAUUCGUAGAUAUUGGGAAGAACACCGGUGGCGAAGGCGGCUCACUGGCUCGUUUCUGACGCUGAGGCGCGAAAGCGUGGGGAGCAAACAGGAUUAGAUACCCUGGUAGUCCACGCCCUAAACGAUGAGUGCCAGGUGUCGGGAAGCUUAGCUUCUCGGCGCCGCAGCUAACGCCUUAAGCACUCCGCCUGGGGAGUACGGCCGCAGGUUAAACUCAAAUGAAUUGACGGCUGAGACGNGCGACGCGACGACGAGGAGAG
rnacentral:rRNA from 1 species